rnacentral:rRNA from 1 species
CCCUUAGAUGUUCUGGGCCGCACACGCGCUACACUGAAGGAGGCAGCGUGUACUCCUGGAUCGAAAGAUUUGGGUAACCCGCGAAUCUCCUUCGUGCUAGGGAUUGAGGAUUGCAAUUAUCCUUCAUGAACGAGGAAUUCCCAGUAAGUGCAAGUCAUAAGCUUGCGCUGACUACGUCCCUGCCCUUUGUACACACCGCCCGUCGCUACUACCGAUUGAAUGAUUUAGUGAGGACUUCGGACUGGGACCGAUGCGGCUUUCGGGCUGCGUCGGUAUUCUGGAAAGAUGUCCAAACUGUNUNAUUUAGNGGAAGUAAAANUCGUANCA